rnacentral:rRNA from 1 species
CUGGUAUCAGGCACAAUAUAAAGCCCAUAACACCUUGCUUAGCCACACCCCCAAGGGAACUCAGCAGUGAUAGACAUUAAGCAAUAAGUGAAAACUUGACUUAAUUAAGGCUAAGAGAACCGGUUAAACUCGUGCCAGCCACCGCGGUUAUACGAGAGGUUCAAGCUGAUAGAUAACGGCGUAAAGAGUGGUUAAUUUAAAAGAGAAGCUAAAGUGGAAUGUUUUCAAAGCUGUUAUACGCACCCGAAAAUAAGAAGACCAAGAACGAAAGUAACUUUAACUUUAUGAAUCCACGAAAACUAUGAAACAAACUGGGAUUAGAUACCCCACUAUGCAUAGCUGUAAACUUUGAUGAACUAUUACAUUAUCAUUCGCCAGGGUACUACGAGCACCAGCUUAAAACCCAAAGGACUUGGCGGUGCUUUAGACCCACCUAGAGGAGCCUGUUCUAGAACCGAUAACCCCCGUUAAACCUCACCCUCCCUUGUUCUUUCC